rnacentral:lncRNA from 1 species
UUCUCUAUUAUUUGUAAUGUUGUAUAAAUAGAACCUUGUAGGGUUUAUUUUCUUAGUUUAUGCUUGAUAUUGAAGACACUACUCUUGUGAGAGAGAGUUCUCAAAACUGAAAUUAGGGCAUAGCAUAAGGGUGGAUUCUCUUGUGUGUUGCAAAGCUUGAGACUUUGGUGCUUUGAGAGGUGGAUGCCCCUCUUGUGUCAUUGUAACAGUUAGGUGUUUGUUGUAUGAAGUGUUAAAGGUCCAAGAGUGAAUAUGCUCUUGGGUUGUUAAGACUACAUCAACACUUGUCUAACUAUCUAUCUUUGUUUCUUGUCCUAAUCUUGUAGUUUGUGAUGUUGUUGUUCAAACCGUUUGGUUAUUGUGGUUGUAACAUUGUUGUUCUUCAUUUUUAUUGUCAUAAUAUAGUUUGAUUUGCUGCUGGAAAUUAGGUGUUAAACACCUUAUUACAUAGCGUUCUUGUUGUGUUCUUGAAUCCGAGAGGGGUCACCAAAAGAGGUCCAUAGUUCCUUGAACUAGUGGACAGUUUUGGUUUUUGUUUUCUUGUGUUCUUAGGCUGUGUUGUAUCAUUUGGUAUUAGAGCAAAGUUUGAUUUUAUUCCAACAAAAUCAAUCUUGGGAUUGUUAUCUUGAAAAUAAAAAAAAAGUGAAAAGAAAGAAAAAGAAAAAAAGUUAUUGUUCACGUUUUUAGGGUCUUUCAAAAAAACUUGAUUUUUUUGUGUUUCUAGACACUAUUAGAGUCUAGAAACUGAAAAUUCCAACAAAAAAGAAGUGUCAAAAUCGAAAAUACCCCACCCCCCCCCCCAAAAAAAAAAAAACNNNNNNNNNNNNNNNNNNNNNNNNNNNNNNNNNNNNNNNNNNNNNNNNNNNNNNNNNNNNNNNNNUGUUUUUAGUGUUAGAUUUGUGUUCUCUAACACUAUAAGAGUAUAGGGUUAGAAUUUGAGCUAAAUUGGAGGUUAUUUGUGUCACCCACCAUUGUUAAUCUUGAGUUUGAAGAAACCUGAAGGUGAGAUCUCAUUGUGGGAGGUUGUUUUAAACUCACGUGUGUUUUAUUUUGUAGAAUUUAUAUUGUAUUGUUGUAUGUGGCGUUGUGGACUUAUUGGGUGUCUUGUUGGACCGUAACUUGAAGGGUUAGUUUUGGUAUAAUCACAAUGGAUCUCGAGGCUUUAAAUGCUCAAACAAUGGAUAAUAAUGCCAUCAAUCUCAUUUUGGCUCACCUUAAAACUAUGUCCCGAGAUGUGGCUAGGUUGAAUAUGGGUCUUGAGAAAUUAGAUACGGAUGUGGCAUCAAUAAGUGAGAGAUUAGAACGUGUGGAAAGCCAAAGGAGUCGGCCUUCCACACCUCAAAACAAUUCCCCAACUAAUACUCCCGGGACCAUGCACCAAAUGCUAUAUCCACCAAUUGCCACAAAUCCAACCAAUCUCUACUCCCGAAGCCAAGAACAAGAUAGACUAGACCAUCCUCCACUCCACCAAGUCCAACAAGAAGGGCUUGGAACUCAAAUACCACCACCACACCCAAACCCUCUUAUCCAAACUCCACUUGACCAAAGACCUCACUAUCCAAAUCCAAUCCUGCCACUACAAGCUCCACUUAACCCAAAUAGACCCAUCCAUAUUGAGGGCUAUGGUAUGGGAGAACAACAUGGUGGUUAUGGGCCGUAUUAUGAUGUUUACUUGAGGGAAGAAAAAAUGAGGGGUAUACAUGGGAAGUUAGACCGAGAGGUGAGAUAUGGUCAUCCAAAUCGAGAUGUAGGUCUCAAUUCCAUCAAAGUAUGCCUUCCCGUUUUCAAAGGUGAGAGUGAUCCUGAAGCCUACCUUGCAUGAGAGUCAUCUUGUGACAAGAUCUUCCAACUUAAUGAUCUCACCAAAGAAAAGAAAAGUUGCUAUUCUAUAGCUCACUUUGAAGGGUAUGCUAAUAUAUGGUGGGAGUAUGUUAAACGGUUUGGGAAUGAGAUGAUUGAGGGAUAACCUCCUCCUUAGUUUCGGUUGAAGAACCUUAUACGGCAACGGUACUUGCCCGAGACUUAUUGGCAUGAGCUUCUUGCCAAAUUGUAUAAUUUGAGGCAAGGGAGCAAGAGUGUCAUGACUUACUACGAUGAAUUUCAACAAUUAAUGUUGAAACUUGACCACCGAGGUGAGCAAGUAAGUCAUGACAUUGUGUGCUUCAAUGUUGGGUUAAACAAGGACAUCUCCACUCGCAUGACGCUUCACAAAUUCGACACCAUAGAUGACAUCUUCCACGCGGCUUUAGAGGUUGAGAGGGAGCUCAAAGAGAACUCAUUCAUGGCUACCCAACCCAAGGCCACUAAGGGUUUCCAAAAACAUCCUCCAAGGUAUGAAGGUAAAUUGGAUUCUACUUUCAAUCCCAAGGGGUUUCAAUGCUUCAAGUGUCAAGGGUGGGGGCACAAGGCUAAUGAGUGCCCAAACAGGUGGAAUAUGAUCGAAGGGGGGUAGAUUGUACUAUCUUGGAGAAGAGGUGGGCAUUGAAUCGGUUAAGAAUGAUGACAAACCACAAGAUGGAGAGCAAAAAGAAGACGAAGUGCAAAAUGAAGAGUAUGGAGAAGAUGUGUGGCCGAAAGAAGGAGAUUGUGAAGUGCCUUUGUAAAAGAGGUGAGCUCGUGAAUUUGUGGUCAAAUUCCUCUCAAGAUGGAGAGGAUGAUACAAGAAUGAUCAUGAUCAUGACACUUUUGAGUAUUUUUGAAGACUAGUCACUAAAGGGCUCUUUUGUCAUUUCUCUAUUAUUUGUAAUGUUGUAUAAAUAGAACCUUGUAGGGUUUAUUUUCUUAGUUUAUGCUUGAUAUUGAAGACACUACUCUUGUGAGAGAGAGUUCUCAAAACUGAAAUUAGGGCAUAGCAUAAGGGUGAAUUCUCUUGUGUGUUGCAAAGCUUGAGACUUUGGUGCUUUGAGAGGUGGAUGCCCCUCUUGUGUCAUUGUAACAGUUAGGUGUUUGUUGUAUGAAGUGUUAAAGGUCCAAGAGUGAAUAUGCUCUUGGGUUGUUAAGACUACAUCAACACUUG